CAAAAACAUAAGACUUUGCAAAAUAGAAAUAUGACGUAUAAAGUCUGACAUCUGCCCGGUGUUGCAAGGUAAAAUUAUAGACGUAAGUUUGUAAAUAAACCCCAAUAAACGGCGGCCGUAAUCCUAACGGUCCUAAGGUAGCAAAAUCCCUUGACGGGUAAGUUCCGUCCUGCACGAAUGGUGUAACGACUGCCCCACUGUCUCUAGUGUUAAUUUUAUGAAAUUGAAAUAGACGUGAAGAUGCGUUAAAAGUACAGCUAGACGGAGAGACCCUAUGCACCUUUACUGUUAUCUAAUAUUUAAUUAUGUUUUAUACAAAACUAGAGAGGUAGGAAAGUGUCUAUUAAUGGAAAACUAACUGUUGUGUAAAAUUAAUUAAUAAUAAUUUAUAGGUAUUAUUUUUUGUUAUUAGUAAAGACAGUUUAGUCUGGGGC
rnacentral:rRNA from 1 species